UACGAAGGGUGCAAACGUUGCUCGGAAUCAUUGGGCGUAAAGCGCACGUAGGCGGCUCCAAAAGUCGGAUGUGAAAUCCCUGGGCUCAACCGAGGAAGUGCAUCCGAAACUGCGGAGCUUGAGUAUGGAAGAGGGUCGCGGAAUUCCCGGUGUAGAGGUGAAAUUCGUAGAUAUCGGGAGGAACACCAGUGGCGAAGGCGGCGACCUGGGCCAAUACUGACGCUGAGGAGCGAAAGCGUGGGGAGCGAACAGG
rnacentral:rRNA from 1 species